rnacentral:rRNA from 1 species
UCGGGAAUAUUGCGCAAUGGAGGAAACUCUGACGCAGUGACGCCGCGUAUAGGAAGAAGGUUUUCGGAUUGUAAACUAUUGUCGAUAGGGAAGAAAAAAGACUGUACCUAUCAAGAAAGCUCCGGCUAACUACGUGCCAGCAGCCGCGGUAAUACGUAGGGAGCAAGCGUUAUCCGGAAUUAUUGGGUGUAAAGGGUGCGUAGACGGGAUGUCAAGUUAGUUGUGAAAUACCUCGGCUCAACUGAGGAACUGCAACUAAAACUAACAUUCUUGAGUGCAGGAGAGGAAAGUGGAAUUCCUAGUGUAGCGGUGAAAUGCGUAGAUAUUAGGAAGAACAUCGGUGGCGAAGGCGACUUUCUGGACUGUAACUGACGUUGAGGCACGAAAGUGUGGGGAGCAAACAGG